rnacentral:rRNA from 1 species
GACGAACGCUGGCGGCGUGCCUAAUACAUGCAAGUAGAACGCUGAAGGAGGAGCUUGCUUCUCGGAUGAGUUGCGAACGGGUGAGUAACGCGUAGGUAACCUGCCUGGUAGCGGGGGAUAACUAUUGGAAACGAUAGCUAAUACCGCAUAACAGUAGAUGUUGCAUGACAUUUGCUUAAAAGGUGCAAUUGCAUCACUACCAGAUGGACCUGCGUUGUAUUAGCUAGUUGGUGGGGUAACGGCUCACCAAGGCGACGAUACAUAGCCGACCUGAGAGGGUGAUCGGCCACACUGGGACUGAGACACGGCCCAGACUCCUACGGGAGGCAGCAGUAGGGAAUCUUCGGCAAUGGACGGAAGUCUGACCGAGCAACGCCGCGUGAGUGAAGAAGGUUUUCGGAUCGUAAAGCUCUGUUGUAAGAGAAGAAACGAGUGUGAGAAGUGGAAAGUUUCACAACUGUG